CCCAGGGUUCACACCCUGGGCUAUUAUCUGCCACCCCUUCGGGGUU
rnacentral:sRNA from 1 species